UUCCAAGCCAUGCGUCUUCAUUCAGAUUUAGGCUAUUUACAUCCACUGAGGACCUGCACAUCGGUGGAGGGCGCUGGAGAAAGAACUCACAAAUGUUAGCAUCUGACGAUGCCAUAUCCAGCACCAUUGGAAUAGGUUUCAAGAACAUUUGGACAAACUUUCAGAAAAAUUAUUGCCUUUGUUUUAAAGAGCUUCAAAUAUUUAUACAUGGAAAAACUAAAAGAUCACUGAAAGUAUGAUAAACCUACUAUUUGCAGACUCUUCUGGUUCACUGUUAAUCACACAGGUUUUAAGCAAAUGACUUUUUGAAAGUUUCAAAAAAUACUGAAUAAAGCUAAGUUCAAUCUGACCCCUAUGGACUUCCAUUUGAAAUAUCCUCUCCUUGACAAGUAGACUGUUGGUAACAUCUCUCAAAGAGUAAUUUUUCAAUUAAUUACAUACUUGUAUUAGCUCAGUUUUAAAUAGACUGUAAAUCCUAGAUUAUAUUCUUACAUGCAAAAACACACUGAUUGUUACCACUAUUAUCCUAACAAAGAAAACAAUGAAACUGAAUAAAAGUUGUCAAGUAUAUGUUGCCAUAAAAUAAAUAAAAUAAAACUUUGUAGUUUUUCUUGUCCUCACUUAUUUCAUUAUUUGUUUUCUAGUAAUUAUUGUGUUCAUUUAUAUAGAUUCUGAAAGAGAUGUUAAGGCACAUGCGAAAUGAGGAGGUAAUUCUUGACAGCCACCAUGGCUACACUAAGAGUAAGUCAUGCCUGACCAGUCUGGUAGCCUGCUAUGAUGGAGUGAUGGCAUCAGUGGACUAAGGAAGAACAUCUGAUGUCAUCAUCUACCUGGACUUGUGCAAGGCCUUUGACAUGUUCCAGAACCUCAUCCUUAUCUGUAAGUUGAAGAAAUGUGGAUUUGAAGGGUGGACUAUUCAGUGGAUAAGGAAUUGCUUGGAUCAAUGCAUCCAGUUGUCUUUACCCCAAGUUUAGCUAUUUCCACUAGUUAUGGAAAU
ensembl:lncRNA